rnacentral:lncRNA from 1 species
GUCAGAAGAUUUAAAAGAAAGGUAGGGAGGGUACAGCAUCAGUAAUAGAGGGCCUGUGUUUAAAGGUCUUUGUGUCCAUCACUAUUUUAGUGUGGAGACCUUUAAGUAUAAACUUUAUAAAGUUUUAACUUUAUAUUUUAAGUUACACUAGUCAGUUCGUUGUUAAACUUUAGGACGACACCUUUAUAUAUAGAAUUUUUUGUCUUACUACGAAAGGGUGUGGUUUAUGCCCAAGGAUUGCAAAAUUUCGAAGAAUGUAUCGCGCAGUCAUUAUUUGGAUGCAUCAUUCGGUAGCUAAGUAGACAUGUCGUUGGGAAGCACAAUUGUGAUACACUGACUGUGUCUGUAAAGAUUCUAUGCGCAAAAUGGCAAUAGAGUUACGUCCCUGCUAAACUGAAGUCUGUAGGUUUCAGCUCUGGAGUUCCCAGUGAAGACAUAUUUUUUUUUUUUUUUUUUUUUUUUUGGCAAACACACAUUUUUUAAGAUUUACAGUUACUAAAUAAAACAAAAGUUGAAAUCUGUAGUACAUCUUAACACAAACUCGUGUGCUUACUUAUUAUGAAC